rnacentral:miRNA from 1 species
AAUACAGAUGCCCAGUCACCUUUGAAUUUUAGAUAAACAACAUUUUUUUUUUCAGUAUAAGAUGUCCCAGACAAUAUUUGGGACAUGCUUAUACUAAAAGUGUAUUUGUUUAUCUGAAAUUCACAUUUGACUGGGAAUCCUGUAUUU